CGCUGGCGGCGUGCCUAAUACAUGCAAGUCGAGCGAACAGAUGAAGUGCUUGCACUUCUGACGUUAGCGGCGAAACGGGUGAGUAACACGUAAGGAAUCUACCUAUAAGCGGGGGAUAACAUUCGAAACGGGUGCUAAUACCGCAUAAUAUCUUCUUCCGCAUGGAAGAAGAUUGAAAGACGGCUCUGCUGUCACUUAUAGAUGACCUUGCGGUGCAUUAGUUAGUUGGUGGGGUAAUGGCCUACCAAGACGAUGAUGCAUAGCCGACCUGAGAGGGUGAUCGGCCACAUUGGGACUGAGACACGGCCCAAACUCCUACGGGAGGCAGCAGUAGGGAAUCUUCCGCAAUGGGCGAAAGCCUGACGGAGCAAUGCCGCGUGAGUGAAGAAGGCCUUCGGGUCGUAAAACUCUGUUAUAAGAGAAGAACAAAUUGUAGAGUAACUGCUACAGUCUUGACGGUAUCUUAUCAGAAAGCCACGGCUAACUACGUG
rnacentral:rRNA from 1 species